rnacentral:rRNA from 1 species
AGAGUUUGAUCCUGGCUCAGGACGAACGCUGGCGGCGUGCUUAACACAUGCAAGUCGAACGAGAAAGGGGCUUCGGCCCUGAGUAGAGUGGCGCACGGGUGAGUAACGCGUAGGUAAUCUACCCUUAUAUUCGGGAUAACAUCGCGAAAGCGGUGCUAAUACCGGAUAUCUUUGUAUGGACGCGAGUCUGUAUGAGGAAAGGUGACCUCUCCAUGGAAGUUACCGUAUGAGGAUGAGCCUGCGUACCAUUAGCUAGUUGGCAGGGUAAAGGCCUACCAAGGCGACGAUGGUUAGCGGGUCUGAGAGGAUGACCCGCCACACUGGAACUGGAACACGGACCAGACUCCUACGGGAGGCAGCAGUGGGGAAUAUUGGACAAUGGGCGAAAGCCUGAUCCAGCCAUGCCGCGUGUGUGAAGAAGGUCUUCGGAUUGUAAAGCACUUUAAGUUGGGAGGAAGGGUAGUAACUUAAUACGUUGCUACUUUGACGUUACCGACAGAAUAAGCACCGGCUAACUUCGUGCCAGCAGCCGCGGUAAUACGAAGGGUGCAAGCGUUAAUCGGAAUUACUGGGCGUAAAGCGCGCGUAGGUGGUUCAGUAAGUUGGAAGUGAAAUCCCCGGGCUCAACCUGGGAACUGCAUUUGUGACUGUAUAGCUAGAGUACGGUAGAGGGGGAUGGAAUUCCGCGUGUAGCAGUGAAAUGCGUAGAUAUGCGGAGGAACACCGAUGGCGAAGGCAAUCCCCUGGACCUGUACUGACGCUCAUGCACGAAAGCGUGGGGAGCAAACAGGAUUAGAUACCCUGGUAGUCC